ensembl:lncRNA
AAAACUGCUUAAAUCACCUUUGUGACCGUGAACCUGGGAUGGGCUGUAGUUGUUCACAGCUGACCCUGCUUAGUUAAAAAUAGUAGAGGGCUGGGUUUUCUCUCCGUGCCUGAAAUAGAGCUGAAAGCAUGCGGGCCAGACAGCUGGGCCGUCCUGGAGUUCACCACGGGGCUCAGACUGAAGACAUCCUACUUUGAGGCGGGGCUUUGACCAGUUGUCCAGGCUGGGCUUGAAUUUGCAAUCCUCCUGUCAGCCUCCUGGAGGCCAGGGGGUUUACGACCAGAAUCGUGGAAAGAAUUAAAUUCAUGAACCGAGGCACCAUUGUCCAUAAAUGUGCACGUCAAGCCAACAAAAUGAUGUUCGCAUUAGGAAAAUCUCACACCAGUAAGAGUUAUGUUAGCAACAGUGAUUUUGAUUAUACCUUGUAGUUUACUAGGAAAAUACAAAGACGAUACAUGUUGGAAAUAAAUACCCUACACCUGUGCACACGUACGUGGUUUUUGAGGGCAGUAAGGUGCCUAUGAACACACACUCAGCUUUCCAAGAGCAAAUGGGGACAGUCGUGUACUGCAGACCCUACUAUGACCCCUCGAGGCUCAGGUAUCGGAAGAUCAAGUCAGGAAACUCAGAAUCUAAGGUGGGCGUAAAGCAGUCUGCCCCAGAAUCCUGGUGUGAAUUCAGGCACCGUCAAUCCGUGAACGGCUGUGAAAUUGGCUUUGUUAGUCGGGUUUCUGCGACUACAAUGAAAAGCCUGAGACCAUCGAGUAAUAAAGAAGAAAGGUUUUCAUGACUCCCAGGCUGGGCUUCAACUUGUGACAGCCCUGCCUCAGCCCCUCAGAGUGCUGGGAUUAUAGGUGGGCAACAUUGCUCCCCACUCGGCAGUCCGAAAGUGGCUGUUCGUGGUGUUCUUUGAUGCCCUUUCUGCUCUCUUUGGGAACUCAGAGGCGUGUAGCAUGGGUUCUGCCUGAACCAUUGAGGAACUUACACAAAGGUCUCCAAUGGACGUCUGUGUGUAUUGGAGCAAGCGAGCAGGAAAGGGUCAAGGACAGAGGGACAGUGACAUAAAGAGGGGAGCCUCCUCACACUCAAUGCUCACCCCCAGGAGAGGCUCAGAAGACAGUGGAAUCGGCAGCUUCGGUCUAACAGGUUGGUACCGUGCUCUGCUCUUGUUCUGGUGCACAAGGACUUGGGUGAGCUGGUGUGACCUCUGCUAAUGAAGACCCCUUACCCGCAAAUCCAAAUGUAAACUGCAGCAAUCCUGGGGAUCCAGCCGGCCCUGGUCACCUCAGCGGGGGCGCUCUCCCACUCACCGGUGUCCUAGCUAAACCGUUACCUGUCACUCACCACGGGGCUGCAAAAAGUGAGGGUGCCCAGAUGGCCCACGGAAGGGGAGACUCACGAUUGCCCCCUUUCCAAAGUGAAAGUCACCCUAAAGCUGACAAAUGCGGCAACGUCCACCCCAGGCCCAUGCCCGUGCCCCUACUUCGUAUUUCUGUAUCCUGUGUGACUACGUAGCAAGACCGUGUCUCGGACAAUUUGGGGUGAACGUUUCAGUAGAAUAUUUAUGACACUGCACAACAUAUUGCUAUUAAUGCCCCUCAAGAUACUGAAAAUACUCCCACUUUGUCUGAACACACUUACCCCAUCCUUCUUGGCAAUCUGUGUUUUAUUGUAUUUUUUUAACAAAAGUUUAACAUUCACCUUUUUUGUUGAUUAUCCCUUGUUCGUAUGAAAGAAAUAAAAAAAAAAUAAGUGAACUUUUCCCUGGGACAUGAUGUUAAUAAUAGUUCAAGCGAAAUAUUUUCUCUUGCUGUUUUAGGGCAAAAUUUUUCUGAUGAGUUUGGUUGUGAUUUGAAUGUCUGUGCGUGCGUGUGUGUGUGUGUGGUUUAAUAUUAUGCAAGGAG